AGCGGCGGACGGGUGAGUAACGCGUGGGUGACCUGCCCUGUACACACGGAUAACAUACCGAAAGGUAUACUAAUACGAGAUAAUAUGCUUUUAUCGCAUGGUAGAAGUAUCAAAGCUUUUGCGGUGCAGGAUGGACCCGCGUCUGAUUAGCUAGUUGGUAAGGUAACGGCUUACCAAGGCGACGAUCAGUAGCCGACCUGAGAGGGUGAUCGGCCACAUUGGAACUGAGACACGGUCCAAACUCCUACGGGAGGCAGCAGUGGGGAAUAUUGCACAAUGGGCGAAAGCCUGAUGCAGCAACGCCGCGUGAGCGAUGAAGGCCUUCGGGUCGUAAAGCUCUGUCCUCAAGGAAGAUAAUGACGGUACUUGAGGAGGAAGCCCCGGCUAACUACGUGCCAGCAGCCGCGGUAAUACGUAGGGGGCUAGCGUUAUCCGGAAUUACUGGGCGUAAAGGGUGCGUAGGUGGUUUCUUAAGUCAGAGGUGAAAGGCUACGGCUCAACCGUAGUAAGCCUUUGAAACUGGGAAACUUGAGUGCAGGAGAGGAGAGUGGAAUUCCUAGUGUAGCGGUGAAAUGCGUAGAUAUUAGGAGGAACACCAGUUGCGAAGGCGGCUCUCUGGACUGUAACUGACACUGAGGCACGAAAGCGUGGGGAGCAAACAGGAUUAGAUACCCUGGUAGUCCACGCCGUAAACGAUGAGUACUAGCUGU
rnacentral:rRNA from 1 species